rnacentral:rRNA from 1 species
UACGUAUGGAGCAAGCGUUAUCCGGAUUUACUGGGUGUAAAGGGAGCACAGGCGGUCUGGCAAGUCUGAUGUGAAAGGCCGGGGCUCAACCCCGGGACUGCAUUGGAAACUGUCAGACUGGAGUGUCGGAGAGGUAAGCGGAAUUCCUAGUGUAGCGGUGAAAUGCGUAGAUAUUAGGAGGAACACCAGUGGCGAAGGCGGCUUACUGGACGAUGACUGACGCUGAGGCUCGAAAGCGUGGGGAGCAAACAGG